rnacentral:rRNA from 1 species
GACGAACGCUGGCGGCGUGCUUAACACAUGCAAGUCGAACGGAAAGGCCCUGCUUUUGUGGGGUGCUCGAGUGGCGAACGGGUGAGUAACACGUGAGUAACCUGCCCUUGACUUUGGGAUAACUUCAGGAAACUGGGGCUAAUACCGGAUAGGAGCUCCUGCUGCAUGGUGGGGGUUGGAAAGUUUCGGCGGUUGGGGAUGGACUCGCGGCUUAUCAGCUUGUUGGUGGGGUAGUGGCUUACCAAGGCUUUGACGGGUAGCCGGCCUGAGAGGGUGACCGGCCACAUUGGGACUGAGAUACGGCCCAGACUCCUACGGGAGGCAGCAGUGGGGAAUAUUGCACAAUGGGCGGAAGCCUGAUGCAGCAACGCCGCGUGCGGGAUGACGGCCUUCGGGUUGUAAACCGCUUUCGCCUGUGACGAAGCGUGAGUGACGGUAAUGGGUAAAGAAGCACCGGCUAACUACGUGCCAGCAGCCGCGGUGAUACGUAGGGUGCGAGCGUUGUCCGGAUUUAUUGGGCGUAAAGGGCUCGUAGGUGGUUGAUCGCGUCGGAAGUGUAAUCUUGGGGCUUAACCCUGAGCGUGCUUUCGAUACGGGUUGACUUGAGGAAGGUAGGGGAGAAUGGAAUUCCUGGUGGAGCGGUGGAAUGCGCAGAUAUCAGGAGGAACACCAGUGGCGAAGGCGGUUCUCUGGGCCUUUCCUGACGCUGAGGAGCGAAAGCGUGGGGAGCGAACAGGCUUAGAUACCCUGGUAGUCCACGCUGUAAACGGUGGGUACUAGGUGUGGGGUCCAUUCCACGGGUUCCGUGCCGUAGCUAACGCUUUAAGUACCCCGCCUGGGGAGUACGGCCGCAAGGCUAAAACUCAAAGGAAUUGACGGGGCCCCGCACAAGCGGCGGAGCAUGCGGAUUAAUUCGAUGCAACGCGUAGAACCUUACCUGGGUUUGACAUGGAUCGGGAGUGCUCAGAGAUGGGUGUGCCUCUUUUGGGGUCGGUUCACAGGUGGUGCAUGGCUGUCGUCAGCUCGUGUCGUGAGAUGUUGGGUUAAGUCCCGCAACGAGCGCAACCCUUGUUCACUGUUGCCAGCACGUUAUGGUGGGGACUCAGUGGAGACCGCCGGGGUCAACUCGGAGGAAGGUGGGGAUGACGUCAAGUCAUCAUGCCCCUUAUGUCCAGGGCUUCACGCAUGCUACAAUGGCUGGUACAGAGAGUGGCGAGCCUGUGAGGGUGAGCGGAUCUCGGAAAGCCGGUCUCAGUUCGGAUUGGGGUCUGCAACUCGACCUCAUGAAGUCGGAGUCGCUAGUAAUCGCAGAUCAGCAACGCUGCGGUGAAUAAGUUCCCGGGGCU